rnacentral:rRNA from 1 species
CCGUACUAUUAUGGUCCGACGCGCGAGAAAGACCGGACAGGUUCAGAUUAUUAUUGUUACAAACCGCCAGCUUAAUUUAACUCAAUUGGUAAAAGAGUUGGUUAAAGAUUUCCCAGAAGUUGUGACAGUAGCUGUUAAUACAAAUACAGCUAAAACCAGUGAGAUAUAUGGUGAAAAGACAGAGAUUAUCUGGGGGCAAGAGAGUAUUCAAGAAGGUGUACUCAAUUAUGAAUUUUCACUAUCCCCUCGAGCUUUUUAUCAACUAAAUCCUGAGCAAACAGAAGUCCUCUAUAGCGAAGCAGUAAAAGCGCUGGAUGUUGAUAAAGAAGACCAUUUGAUUGACGCUUAUUGUGGAGUUGGAACGAUUGGAUUUGCCUUUGCAAAGAAAGUAAAAACACUCAGAGGUAUGGAUAUUAUUCCAGAAGCUAUUGAAGAUGCCAAGCGAAAUGCUAAAAGAAUGGGAUUUGACAAUACUCAUUAUGAAGCUGGAACGGCAGAAGAGAUUAUUCCUCGUUGGUACAAGGAAGGCUACCGAGCAGAUGCUUUGAUUGUUGACCCACCACGUACAGGUCUGGAUGAUAAGUUAUUAGAUACUAUUCUUACUUAUGUACCAGAAAAAAUGGUUUAUAUUUCUUGUAAUGUUUCGACCUUGGCUCGUGAUUUGGUACGCUUAGUAGAAGUCUAUGAUCUUCAUUAUAUCCAGUCGGUCGAUAUGUUCCCACAUACAGCUCGAACUGAAGCUGUUGUAAAAUUAAUAAAAAAAGUUUAAAAAAGUAGUUGACAAAGUUUGAAAAGACUGUAUAAUAGUAAGAGUUGAAAAUAACAACUCAGGUCCGUUGGUCAAGGGGUUAAGACACCGCCUUUUCACGGCGGUAACACGGGUUCGAAUCCCGUACGGACUAUGGUAUGUUGCGGUUGGAACACUUGAUGAAAAAAAGUUUAAAAAAACUUAAAAAUCUUCAAAAAAGUGUUGACAAGUGAAAGUGGCUGUGAUAUACUAAUAUAGUUGUCGCUUGAGAGAAGCAAGUGACAAAGACCUUUGAAAACUGAACAAGACGAACCAAUGUGCAGGGCGCUACAACAUAAGUUGUAGUACUGAACAAUGAAAAAAACAAUAAAUCUGUCAGUGACAGAAAUGAGUGAGAACUCAAACUUUUAAUGAGAGUUUGAUCCUGGCUCAGGACGAACGCUGGCGGCGUGCCUAAUACAUGCAAGUAGAACGCUGAAGGAGGAGCUUGCUUCUCUGGAUGAGUUGCGAACGGGUGAGAAUCCUGUCCACCGUAAGACUAAGGUUUCCAGGGGAAGGCUCGUCCGCCCUGGGUUAGUCGGGACCUAAGGAGAGACCGAAAGGUGUAUCCGAUGGACAACAGGUUGAUAUUCCUGUACUAGAGUAUGUAGUGAUGGAGGGACGCAGUAGGCUAACUAAAGCAGACGAUUGGAAGAGUCUGUCUAAGCAGUGAGGUGUGAAUUGAGUCAAAUGCUUAAUUCUAUAACAUUGAGCUGUGAUGGGGAGCGAAGUUUAGUAGCGAAGUUAGUGACGUCACACUGCCAAGAAAAGCUUCUAGCGUUUAAACAUACUCUACCCGUACCGCAAACCGACACAGGUAGUCGAGGCGAGUAGCCUCAGGUGAGCGAGAGAACUCUCGUUAAGGAACUCGGCAAAAUGACCCCGUAACUUCGGGAGAAGGGGUGCUGACUUAAAGUCAGCCGCAGUGAAUAGGCCCAAGCAACUGUUUAUCAAAAACACAGCUCUCUGCUAAAUCGUAAGAUGAUGUAUAGGGGGUGACGCCUGCCCGGUGCUGGAAGGUUAAGAGGAGUGCUUAGCGUAAGCGAAGGUAUGAAUUGAAGCCCCAGUAAACGGCGGCCGUAACUAUAACGGUCCUAAGGUAGCGAAAUUCCUUGUCGGGUAAGUUCCGACCCGCACGAAAGGCGUAAUGAUUUGGGCACUGUCUCAACGAGAGACUCGGUGAAAUUUUAGUACCUGUGAAGAUGCAGGUUACCCGCGACAGGACGGAAAGACCCCAUGGAGCUUUACUGCAGUUUGAUAUUGAGUGUCUGUACCACAUGUACAGGAUAGGUAGGAGUCUAAGAGAUCGGGACGCCAGUUUCGAAGGAGACGCUGUUGGGAUACUACCCUUGUGUUAUGGCCACUCUAACCCAGAUAGGUGAUCCCUAUCGGAGACAGUGUCUGACGGGCAGUUUGACUGGGGCGGUCGCCUCCUAAAAGGUAACGGAGGCGCCCAAAGGUUCCCUCAGAAUGGUUGGAAAUCAUUCGCAGAGUGUAAAGGUAUAAGGGAGCUUGACUGCGAGAGCUACAACUCGAGCAGGGACGAAAGUCGGGCUUAGUGAUCCGGUGGUUCCGUAUGGAAGGGCCAUCGCUCAACGGAUAAAAGCUACCCUGGGGAUAACAGGCUUAUCUCCCCCAAGAGUUCACAUCGACGGGGAGGUUUGGCACCUCGAUGUCGGCUCGUCGCAUCCUGGGGCUGUAGUCGGUCCCAAGGGUUGGGCUGUUCGCCCAUUAAAGCGGCACGCGAGCUGGGUUCAGAACGUCGUGAGACAGUUCGGUCCCUAUCCGUCGCGGGCGUAGGAAAUUUGAGAGGAUCUGCUCCUAGUACGAGAGGACCAGAGUGGACUUACCGCUGGUGUACCAGUUGUCUUGCCAAAGGCAUCGCUGGGUAGCUAUGUAGGGAAGGGAUAAACGCUGAAAGCAUCUAAGUGUGAAACCCACCUCAAGAUGAGAUUUCCCAUGAUUAU